rnacentral:rRNA from 1 species
UACGUAGGGAGCAAGCGUUGUCCGGAAUUAUUGGGCGUAAAGGGUGCGUAGGCGGUUUAUCAAGUCAGAUGUGAAAUCCCCGGGCUUAACUCGGGACGUGCAUUUGAAACUGGUAGACUUGAGUAAAGAAGAGGUAAGUGGAAUUCCUAGUGUAGCGGUGGAAUGCGUAGAUAUUAGGAGGAACACCAGUGGCGAAGGCGACUUACUGGUCUUUUACUGACGCUGAGGCACGAAAGCGUGGGGAGCAAACAGG